AGCCUUUGGUGAAUCAUGAUAACUGCUCGAAGCUCAUGGCCUCGCGCCGGAGCUGCUUCAUUCAAAUACCUGCCCUAUCAGCUUUCGAUGGUAAGGUAGUGGCUUACCAUGGCGGUUACGGGUAACGGGGAAUUAGGGUUCGAUUCCGGAGAGAGAGCCUGAGAAACGGCUCUCAUAACUAAGGUUAGCAGCAGGCGCGCAAAUUAUCCACUUCCGACACGGAGAGAUAGUGACAAUAAAUAACAAUAGAGGGCUCUUUUGGGUCUUCUAAUUGGAAUGAGUACAAUCUAAAUCCCUUAACGAGGAUCAAUUGGAGGGCAAGUCUGGUGCCAGCAGCCGCGGUAAUUCCAGCUCCAAUAGCGUAUAUUAAAUUUGUUGACGUUAAAAAGCUCGUAGUCGACUUUCGGCCCUAGCUGGCCGGUCCGCUUUUUUUGAGUGUGUACUGGACCCAGCUGGGGCUUUACCUCCUGGUGAACUGGCAUGUCCUUUAUUGGGCGUGUCAGGGAACCCGGAAUUUUACUUUGAAUAAAUCAGAGUGUUCAAAGCAGGCAUGUUUGCCCGAAUGUUACAGCAUGGAAUAAUAGAAUAGGAUGUGUGCCUCUAUUGGUCUUUUAGAGGCACCUUAAUGAGAAAUAGGGGCGGCUCGGGGGCAUUUGUAUUCAAUUGCUAGAGGUGAAAUUCUUGGAUUUAUUGAAGACAAACUACUGCGAAAGCAUUUGCCAAGGACGCUUUCAUUGAUCAAGAACGAAGGUCGGGGGAUCGAAAACGAUUAGAUACCGUUGUAGUCUCGACAGUAAACUAUGCCGAUGGGCGAUUGGCGAGGGUUUUUUUAAUGACCUCGUCAGCAGCCAAAGAGAAAUCUUGAAUUAGGUUCGUGGGGGAGUACGGUCACAAGGCUGAAACUUAAAGGAAUUGACGGAAGGGCACCACCAGGAGUGGAGCCUGCGGCUUAAUUUGACUCAACACGGGGAAACUCACCAGGUCCAGACACAAAAAGGAUUGACAGAUUGAUAGCUCUUUCUUGAUCUUGUGGUUGGUGGUGCAUGGCCGUUCUUAGUUGGUGGAGUGAUUUGUCUGCUUAAUUGCGAUAACGAACGAGACCUUAACCUGCUAAAUAGCCCGGCCGGCUUUGGCUGGCCGCUGGCUUCUUAGAGGGACUUUCAGCUUUUAGCUGAAGGAAGUUUGAGGCAAUAACAGGUCUGUGAUGCCCUUAGAUGUUCUGGGCCGCACGCGCGCUACACUGACAGAGACAGCGAGUUUUUUUCCUUGGCCGGAAGGUCUGGGUAAUCUUGUGAAACUCUGUCGUGAUGGGGAUAGAGCAUUGCAAUUAUUGCUCUUCAACGAGGAAUUCCUUGUAAGCGCAAGUCAUCAGCUUGCGUUGACUACGUCCCUGCCCUUUGUACACACCGCCCGUCGCUACUACCGAUUGAAUGGCUUAGUGAGGUCUUCGGAUUGGCGCUUGGGAGCUGGCAACGGCACCCGAGUGCUGAAAAGUUGCACGAACUUGGUCAUUUAGAGGAAGUAAAAGUCGUAACAAGGUUUUCGUAGGUGAACCUGCGGAAGGAUCAUUAGUGAAACACCGGAUUCCUCUGCAAAGAGAAGGUCCGACCCACUAUCACACACACUUGUGCACUUGGUCAUUUUUACAAAUCCAUUUUGUAUACACUUUUGCAUUUUGAAGGUUGAUUGUAACAAAUUUAAACGAAAGAAAAACUUUCAGCAAUGGAUCUCUUGGCUCUCGCAUCGAUGAAGAACGCAGCGAAACGCGAAAUGUAAUGUGAAUUGCAGAAUUCAGUGAAUCAUCGAAUCUUUGAACGCACCUUGCGCUCCAGGGUCAUUCCUUGGAGCAUGCUUGUUUGAGUGUCUAGUACCCCUCUCCACCCCGCCCUGAUUGGGUUGCCGGGCUGGGAUCAUGGACGCUUUGUCGGCCCUUGCGGGCGGACUGCGCUGAAAUUGAACAAGCUGAACCCACCUUGCGGCUUGACCUGUUGUUGUAAACUAAAUUCAAUGGGAACGCGAGCGAGGGACGAGCUUACCAGAACCGCCUUAGGGCACAGUGCAUUUUGACCUCAAAUCAAGUAGGACUACCCGCUGAACUUAAGCAUAUCAAUAAGCGGAGGAAAAGAAACUAACAAGGAUUCCCCUAGUAACGGCGAGUGAAGUGGGAAAAGCUCAACUUUGUAAUCUGGCUCUUUCAGAGUCCGAGUUGUAGUCUCGAGAAGCAACAUCCGCAUCGGACCUUGGGUAUGUCUGUUGGAAAACAGCGUCAUAGAGGGUGACAAUCCCGUUUGUACCAAGGACGACCGCGUGCAUUGUGGUGUGCUUUCCAAGAGUCGAGUUGUUUGGGAAUGCAGCUCAAAUUGGGUGGUAAAUUCCAUCUAAAGCUAAAUAUUGGCGAGAGACCGAUAGCGAACAAGUACCGUGAGGGAAAGAUGAAAAGCACUUUGGAAAGAGAAUGAAACAGUAUGUGAAAUUGCUGGAAGGGAAACGAUUGAAGUUAGACUUGCGUGGGCCCCACUCAGCCUUUUUGGUGUACUUGGGGCCCGUUGCAGGCCAGCAUCGGUUUGCUUCGCGGAAUAAGGGUGCGUGGGAUGUAGCUUCUUUUGAAGUGUUAUAAACGCGCACUGGAUGCCGAGUCGCAGACCGAGGAACGCAGCGCGUUUGUAGUAUCUGCAGGUACAGAGCGCUUAGGAUGCUGGUAGAAUAGCUUAAACGACCGUCUUGAAACACGGACC
rnacentral:rRNA from 1 species